UACAGAGGGUGCGAGCGUUAAUCGGAAUUACUGGGCGUAAAGCGUGCGUAGACGGUUAUUUAAGUCGGGUGUGAAAGCCCCGGGCUCAACCUGGGAAUUGCAUUCGAGACUGAAUAGCUAGGGUACGGUAGAGGGAAGUGGAAUUUCCGGUGUAGCGGUGAAAUGCGUAGAUAUCGGGAGGAACACCAGUGGCGAAGGCGACUACCUGGCCCACUCUUGACGCUGAGGCGCGAAAGCUAGGGAGCGAACGGGAUUAGA
rnacentral:rRNA from 1 species